rnacentral:rRNA from 1 species
GCAGUCGAGCGAGCGGAACCAGCAGAAUCACUUCGGUGAGGACGCUGGGAAAGCGAGCGGCGGAUGGGUGAGUAACACGUGGGGAACCUGCCCUUAAGUCUGGGAUACCACUUGGAAACAGGUGCUAAUACCGGAUAAGAAAGCAGUUCGCAUGAACAGCUUUUAAAAGGCGGCGCAAGCUGUCGCUAAAGGAUGGACCCGCGGUGCAUUAGCUAGUUGGUAAGGUAACGGCCUACCAAGGCAGUGAUGCAUAGCCGAGUUGAGAGACUGAUCGGCCACAUUGGGACUGAGACACGGCCCAAACUCCUACGGGAGGCAGCAGUAGGGAAUCUUCCACAAUGGACGCAAGUCUGAUGGAGCAACGCCGCGUGAGUGAAGAAGGUUUUCGGACCGUAAAGCUCUGUUGUUGGUGAAGAAGGAUAGAGGUAGUAACUGGCCUUUAUUUGACGGUAAUCAACCAGAAAGUCACGGCUAACUACGUGCCAGCAGCCGCGGUAAUACGUAGGUGGCAAGCGUUGUCCGGAUUUAUUGGGCGUAAAGCGAGCGCAGGCGGAAGAAUAAGUCUGAUGUGAAAGCCCUCGGCUUAACCGAGGAAUUGCAUCGGAAACUGUUUUUCUUGAGUGCAGAAGAGGAGAGUAGAACUCCAUGUGUA